rnacentral:ncRNA from 1 species
UAUCUAUUUAAUUCUGGUUGUAGAAGAAUGUGAGGAGAAUAGCUUAUAUAAGAUUGUUCUAUUUUGUUGUAAAAGUUAGUAAUUCUUUUAUACUUAGCGGCUAAAUCUUGUUUUUUAGGGAAACCUAGAGCAGGUUUCUUCUCAUCGUAAGUGGUUAAUGCUCAGUGCCAGCAUCCGCGGUUAUUCUGUUAGCUUUAUUCUUCUGAUAUUUGGUUUAAAUGAUUUAGAAGUUAUUUGAUAAUUUUAGGUAUAAUUUUAUUGUCUUUGAUAUAUACUUCUAAGUUGAUUUAUUUUUCUAUAUAAGAUAAGGAUUAGAUACCCUUGUAUUGGAUUGGUAAAUUUUUGUCCAUGGUAUUAACUAAAAGGAUUUGGCAGCUGAUGAAGUUCUUCCGGGGGAAUGUGUAGCAUAAAAGAUAGUCCACUUAAGAUUUUACCUUUUCUAUUUUGGUUAGUGUAUAUCCGGUUUAAUAUCUGCGGUUACUGCUGUUAGGUGAAACUUUAUAGUUUAAGCCAGGUCUAUGUGCUGCUUAUGUUAAGGUGUCGUAUGCAUUACGUUUAUAAAAGGAAAUAUUCUGUAAUGAAAUUUUAUAUUUAGGACUCGGAAGUAGGCUUUGUAUAAAUUAGAUUGUUGGGUCGAAGUAGAUUUAAUCAGGGUACACACCGCCCGUCGCCCAGAGUGUUAGCUGUGGUAAGUCGUAACAUGGUAGCGCUGGGGGAACCGAGCGCUAGUUGCUC